rnacentral:rRNA from 1 species
UAGGGAAUCUUCCACAAUGGGCGAAAGCCUGAUGGAGCAACGCCGCGUGUGUGAUGAAGGGUUUCGGCUCGUAAAACACUGUUGUAAGAGAAGAAUGACAUUGAGAGUAACUGUUCAAUGUGUGACGGUAUCGUUACCAGAAAGGAACGGCUAAUACGUGCCAC